GACGGUCUUGCUGUCACUUAUAGAUGGAUCCGCGCUGCAUUAGCUAGUUGGUAAGGUAACGGCUUACCAAGGCAACGAUGCAUAGCCGACCUGAGAGGGUGAUCGGCCACACUGGAACUGAGACACGGUCCAGACUCCUACGGGAGGCAGCAGUAGGGAAUCUUCCGCAAUGGGCGAAAGCCUGACGGAGCAACGCCGCGUGAGUGAUGAAGGUCUUCGGAUCGUAAAACUCUGUUAUUAGGGAAGAACAUAUGUGUAAGUAACUGUGCACAUCUUGACGGUACCUAAUCAGAAAGCCACGGCUAACUACGUGCCAGCAGCCGCGGUAAUACGUAGGUGGCAAGCGUUAUCCGGAAUUAUUGGGCGUAAAGCGCGCGUAGGCGGUUUUUUAAGUCUGAUGUGAAAGCCCACGGCUCAACCGUGGAGGGUCAUUGGAAACUGGAAAACUUGAGUGCAGAAGAGGAAAGUGGAAUUCCAUGUGUAGCGGUGAAAUGCGCAGAGAUAUGGAGGAACACCAGUGGCGAAGGCGACUU
rnacentral:rRNA from 1 species